GGCGGCGUGGCCAAGUGGUAAGGCAGAGGUCUGCAAAACCUUUAUUCGUCGGUUCAACUCCGUCCGCCGCCUCCA
rnacentral:tRNA from 2 species